rnacentral:rRNA from 1 species
AUUGAACGCUGGCGGCAGGCCUAGCACAUGCAAGUCGAGCGGAUGACGGGAGCUUGCUCCUUGAUUCAGCGGCGGACGGGUGAGUAAUGCCUAGGAAUCUGCCUGGUAGUGGGGGACAACGUUUCGAAAGGAACGCUAAUACCGCAUACGUCCUACGGGAGAAAGCAGGGGACCUUCGGGCCUUGCGCUAUCAGAUGAGCCUAGGUCGGAUUAGCUAGUAGGUGAGGUAAUGGCUCACCUAGGCGACGAUCCGUAACUGGUCUGAGAGGAUGAUCAGUCACACUGGAACUGAGACACGGUCCAGACUCCUACGGGAGGCAGCAGUGGGGAAUAUUGGACAAUGGGCGAAAGCCUGAUCCAGCCAUGCCGCGUGUGUGAAGAAGGUCUUCGGAUUGUAAAGCACUUUAAGUUGGGAGGAAGGGCAGUAAGCUAAUACCUUGCUGUUUUGACGUUACCGACAGAAUAAGCACCGGCUAACUCUGUGCCAGCCGCCGCAGUAAAAC